rnacentral:rRNA from 1 species
AAGUCGUAACAAGGUUUCCGUAGGUGAACCUGCGGAAGGAUCAUUACAGAGAUUCCCUGCCCUCUUGGGUAGACCUCCAACCCCUUGCAUAUCAUACCAUUGUUGCUUUGGCAGGCCCGUCUCCGACCGCCGGUGUACUCUGGCCAGCGUCUGCCAGAGGAUCCAACUCUGAAUACAUGUUGUCCGAGCACUAUAAAAAAAGUUAAAACUUUCAACAACGGAUCUCUUGGUUCUGGCACCGAUGAAGAACGCAGCGAAAUGCGAUAAGUAAUGUGAAUUGCAGAAUUCAGUGAACCAUCGAAUCUUUGAACGCACAUUGCACCCUCUGGUAUUCCAGAGGGUAUGCCUGUUCGAGCGUCAUUGCAACCCUCAAGCUCUGCUUGGUGUUGGGCUCGGCCUCUGGGCCAGCCUCAAAGCAAGUGGCGGCACUGGUCGACCCUCAGCACAGUAAUAAUUCUUGCUCCUGGGCUCGAUCGGCUGCAUGCCAGCAAACCCCCAUUAUCAAAGGUUGACCUCGGAUCAGGUAGGGAUACCCGCUGAACUUAAGCAUAUCAAUAAGCGGAGGAAAAGAAACCAACAGGGAUUGCCUCAGUAACGGCGAGUGAAGCGGCAACAGCUCAAAUUUGAAAUCUGACUCUUUCAGGGUCCGAGUUGUAAUUUGUAGAGGAUGCUCUGGGCAUGGCUCCGGUCUAAGUUCCUUGGAACAGGACGUCGUAGAGGGUGAGAAUCCCGUAUGUGACUGGCUGCCUUUGCCUGUGUAGAGCUCCUUCGACGAGUCGAGUUGUUUGGGAAUGCAGCUCAAAAUGGGUGGUAAAUUUCAUCUAAAGCUAAAUACCGGCCAGAGACCGAUAGCGCACAAGUAGGGUGAUCGAAAGAUGAAAAGCACUUUGGAAAGAGAGUUAAACAGUACGUGAAAUUGUUGAAAGGGAAGCGCUUGCAAUCAGACUUGCAUGUAGUCGAUCAGCCGACACUUGUGCCGGUGCACUCGACUGCGUUCAGGCCAGCAUCGGUUUCGGCGGCUGGAUAAAGGCCUUGGGAAUGUAGCUUCUCUAGGGGAGUGUUAUAGCCCUCGGUGCAAUGUAGCCUGCUGGAACCGAGGACCGCGCUUCGGCUAGGAUGCUGGCGUAAUGGUUGCAAGCGACC